GAGCGGGGCCGGGAGCGGGAUCAGGCCGGGGAUUGGGGCCGGGUCGGGGCGGCCAUGCUGUACGCCAACCAGCCCACCGUGCGCAUCACCGAGCUGACGGACGAGAACGUCAAGUUCAUCAUUGAGAACACGGACCUGGUGGUGGCAAAUUCCAUUUGAAGAGUGUUCAUCGCUGAAGUCCCCACCAUAGCCAUCGACUGGGUCCAGAUAGAUGCCAACUCCUCCGUGCUCCACGAUGAGUUCAUUGCACACACGUUGGGCCUCAUCCCUCUCACCAGCGAUGACAUUGUGGAUAAGAUGCAAUAUUCCAGAGACUGUACAUGUGACGAGUUCUGCCCCGAGUGCUCCGUGGAGUUCACCCUGGAUGUUCGCUGCAACGAGGACCAGACCCGUCAUGUCACAUCCCGUGACCUCAUCUCCAACAAUCCCCGGGUCAUUCCGGUGACGUCUCGGAGCAGAGACAAUGACCCCAAUGACUACGUGGAGCAGUAUGACAUCCUCAUUGUGAAGCUGCGGAAGGGGCAGGAGCUCCGGCUGAGAGCCUAUGCUAAGAAGGGCUUUAGGAAGGAGCACGCCAAGUGGAACCCCACGGCGGGCGUGGCCUUCGAGUACGACCCAGACAACGCGCUGAGGCACACCGUGUACCCCAAACCAGAGGAGUGGCCCAAGAGUGAGUACUCGGAGAUCGAUGAUGAGGAUGCUCAGGCUCCCUAUGACCCCAACGGGAAGCCAGAGAGGUUCUAUUACAACGUGGAGUCCUGCGGUUCUCUGCGCCCAGAGACCAUCGUUCUGUCCGCAUUGUCCGGCCUGAAGAAGAAACUGAGCGACCUCCAGACCCAGCUGAGCCACGAGAUUCAGAGCGACGUCCUCACUAUUAACUGAGGUGGCUCCUUGCGAGAGAGUGCUGAGGUGUGAGUGAUGGAGCAGGUCCUUGCCUCUGCCUGGCCAUGAUCUGGGGAGAGGCUUUUACCUCCCCAUCUCCCUCUGCCUUUCCUGGCCCAGCUCUGCUAGUUGGUGACGCCUCUUCCCUGACCUUGCUUUCCAGGGAAAGCCAUUGUGUUGUGUGGGGUAAAACGGGAAGGGAAUCAAUCAGUGAGCAUCUUUGCUAGGACAGGCUUUGUCUCUAACUGAUUCGAGAGUUUUGGUUCUGGUUUUGGAUUCUGGCUGU